rnacentral:rRNA from 1 species
AUUGAACGCUAGCGGGAUGCUUUACACAUGCAAGUCGAACGGCAGCGCGGACUUCGGUCUGGCGGCGAGUGGCGAACGGGUGAGUAAUGUAUCGGAAUGUGCCCAGUAGCGGGGGAUAACUACGCGAAAGCGUAGCUAAUACCGCAUACGCCCUACGGGGGAAAGCGGGGGAUCGUAAGACCUUGCACUAUUGGAGCGGCCGAUAUCGGAUUAGCUAGUUGGUGAGGUAAAGGCUCACCAAGGCGACGAUCCGUAGCUGGUUUGAGAGGACGACCAGCCACACUGGGACUGAGACACGGCCCAGACUCCUACGGGAGGCAGCAGUGGGGAAUUUUGGACAAUGGGGGCAAGCCUGAUCCAGCCAUGCCGCGUGUGUGAUGAAGGCCUUCGGGUUGUAAAGCACUUUUGGCAGGAAAGAAACGUCGCGGGCUAAUACCCCGUUGAACUGACGUUACCUGCAGAAUAAGCACCGGCUAACUACGUG